rnacentral:rRNA from 1 species
CCUACGGGAGGCUGCAGUGAGGAAUAUUGGUCAAUGGACGAGAGUCUGAACCAGCCAAGUAGCGUGAAGGAUGACUGCCCUAUGGGUUGUAAACUUCUUUUAUAUGGGAAUAAAAUGUUCCACGUGUGGGAUUUUGUAUGUACCAUAUGAAUAAGGAUCGGCUACCUCCGUGCCAGCAGCCGCGGUAAUACGGAGGAUCCGAGCGUUAUCCGGAUUUAUUGGGUUUAAAGGGAGCGUAGGUGGAUUGUUAAGUCAGUUGUGAAAGUUUGCGGCUCAACCGUAAAAUUGCAGUUGAAACUGGCAGUCUUGAGUGCAGGAGAGGUGAGCGGAAUUCGUGGUGUAGCGGUGAAAUGCUUAGAUAUCACGAAGAACUCCGAUUGCGAAGGCAGUUCACUGGACUGCAACUGACACUGAGGCUCGAAAGUGUGGGUAUCAAACAGGAUUAGAUACCCCAGUAGUC